rnacentral:rRNA from 1 species
UACAGAGGGUGCAAGCGUUAAUCGGAAUUACUGGGCGUAAAGCGUGCGCAGGCGGUUGUGCAAGACAGAUGUGAAAUCCCCGGGCUCAACCUGGGAAUUGCAUUUGUGACUGCACGGCUAGAGUGUGUCAGAGGGGGGUAGAAUUCCACGUGUAGCAGUGAAAUGCGUAGAGAUGUGGAGGAAUACCGAUGGCGAAGGCAGCCCCCUGGGAUAACACUGACGCUCAUGCACGAAAGCGUGGGGAGCAAACAGG